AUGGGUGGCUGUAUUGCUGCAUGGCUGGGUUUCAGUGCUCUGGUUCUCAUGCAGGAAUUAAGAGUUAGCUCCUGGCUGACUGGGAAAUUUACCCAGUCUUUCGUUCUUGGCAGCUGGUAGUACCACCCAUACUCACUGCAUGGAAAGGACAUGGCAACAAGAUCUGUUUGGGGAGUGAUCAUAACCUGAUUUAAUAUAGAGCAAUCUGGCUGCAAAUGUUUACAUGGUAGACUGGAAAGGAGCUCUUUGUCCUUCUGUAUUUGUGUGCGCAUAUGUGAACAGCAUGGAACGAUAUAACUGGCACGUUAAAGAGAAGGCUUUAUCUGCAAAAGGUAAACCCUUGGGGAAGACCUCAUCAAUAUGAUGUAAAAACAAACCAGCUGCCAGUUAAGUUGUUUGUUUUCUUGCAGCACCGCUUCACUGAUCUGCCCACUUGAGUUGUAGCAUUCCAGGACCAAAGUGUCUUUCAUUACGUGAUUACUCAGUUGCUCUUACUGAAGCUCUGAAACAUGUCAUGCUGUAAGGAAUGGGAGGAUUUCUUUAUCCUAGUCUGUUUCAUAGUCCGUACACAUGGAAAAUUCUGAUGUCAUUGUGACAGACCUUGAAUUAAAUACUUGGGUAGAUGCAUGCUGAUGGCCACAGCUGCUAUGGACACACUUAUUUUGGAAGAAUACUUUUAGUGCUGUAGUCCUUUCUCACUCGCUUUUGCCUGGUUUAACUCAUUUCUGGCCGAUGUAGGAAUUCUCUUGAGUGAAACCUAAAUGCUUCCAUCAUGUGUCAGUCCCCCUGUGUUGAAACUGGAAAUUAAAAGAAAGCAGGUUUUGAGUUUCAAUCAUAUAGCAAAUUUUCAUGUCAAUUUUCAUGAUGAGAGGAAGGGGCAUUAUGGAAACUUCAGAAGAGAAGUGUGAAAGGAGGAGAGGAAGGUCAGUGUCCCUUUAAACACCUUACACAUAUUGCAUGGCAGCAGGAUUAUAUCAGUCUUGGGAUGCUAGCAUUUUAUUUGUAAAAAUAAAUUCUUCCAGAAAACAUCCCAAACUAGUGUCACAUUGUUGAGUGCUAAUGGCUGCAUUAGCAGUUAUCCGCGGUUAUGCAUAUGUCCAUCCAUCUGCCUUAUGACUUUGCAUCCGAGGAAGGUGCUGUGCGUUAGUUAUUUUACUUUUAAAAGUCUGCUUUUUAUGUUUGUAAAUAAAAAGAUUACAAGUGGUGAUGCACAGGGCUAAAACCACCAAUUGUUAGCCAGAUUAAGCUGCAGAGACACUCGUCCAUGUGUAGAAGGAACCAGACUUAAAACAAGGCUGUAAGAUGUACUUAAUGGACUUCAGAACACCUUUUUCAAGCUUUUCUUAGUCAACCUUAACAUUUUAAUUUAUAACUAAAAAAAAACUUUAAAUUGUCUGAAGGACUCUUUCCUGGGAGCAGGUUUGUUGGUUUGUCUUGCGCAAAGCACUGGAGUAUUAUUGCUGGAGGGGGUCAAAUCUCGCAAAAUGGCAUUUGCAUAUACACACAGCACUUCAA